GAGGCUUUUCAAAUUUACUAUUUGGAUGAUUUUUCCCAUCAAAAUAAUGAUGCCUGUUGUGCAAGAAAAAGUAACUUUUUCACGCCACUUUUGUGAACUGAGUAUCUAGGCUACAAUAUAACAAUUUAUCAAGUACAAAUACAUAAUCAUGUCACGAAUUCCGUGUUGGCAACGCCAUAUAAUCGGCACAUGUUUUACGCACGCUGUUCCGAUACAUAUUCGAUCUUUGUUUUCACAGGCUACAAACAAGUCUGUGAUGUCCAGAUCAACAUCCUAGAAUGAAGUACAGGGUCCGCUGUUCGACCACGGGACAGGGCAGCCUGCCCUGAGUCAUGAAAGCAGCCGCCGCUGGAGCAGAGAGCCGCCCGCUCGCUGGAGGGAGGCCAAGGCUGCUCCCAUGGAAUUGUCAGCUGUGCUGCCAUGCUGUCAUCAUGGUUGCAGCCAGAGACAUCACUAACAGCUGCAUUCAAGUGACACCAUGCUCAGCCCUGCCCUUUGCACCGUCAGCAAUGCCAGACGUCUAUUGUUUUGCAUUAGGCAACUGUACACUUCCACCAACCUGUUCCUGCUGUACUAUCGCCAAGGGCUGGAAUAAAGAGGUUAAUUAAACAA